AUUUAAACAGUGGUGCAAAUACAAGAGAUAUUCAUUAUAAUAUGAUGGUGAUUUCCAUUGAACAGUUUUCAACGCAAGAUCAUUUCGUUGGAAAAUGUUAAUCAUUGUGAAAUCAACAUAAAAUCACUUCAAUUUGCAGUGCCACUGUUGGGACAGUGGUAAAUCGCGAUUUCGCGAAUUCCGCGAAAUCCUGCGUCGGCCACGAAAUUUACAAAAACCCGCGAAAUUCCGCGAAAGUAAUGAAAAAUAGCAGCAUUCUAUGUCAAUCUUGAAACAUUUUUCGAAACCUGCAAAUUUUCUGUAAACCAGCGACACGGACAAAGCUGAAGAAUAAUGGGCACCUCGAGGGCAACUUUUUCUACGCAACCAAUAAAAUGAACCAGUACUUCUGCUCUCUUACAACGCGAUUUUGUCAACCUGGAACUGUCUUCGGUUGCUAGAUCCUCUUCGAGCAAAUAUUUCGGCGAUUGAUAGAAUUCCAGAGUGUGCAGCCAAAAUCGAAGUUGCUAAAUGACCUGAGUACCUACUAGUAUUCGGAUCGCGGACGUUUUCCUGAGCUUUUUCCGGUUGACAAAUAAUAUUUAUCAAUUCCUGGAAACUCGGAAAACACGAAACGCAGCGUGAGCCAAAACUACGUGCCUAUCGACACCAAAAUAUAACUGAACACAAUUUGACACGGUAUGUACUUAUAGUCAGUGAUGCAAAGAAGUUAUGAAUCGUACGGUUAAAUUACCGUAUGUGAAAUUAAAUAAAACAGUUGUUUCUUAUUGUUACGAAAAA